rnacentral:rRNA from 1 species
CAGCAGCCACGGGAAUACGAAGGGUGCAAGCGUUAAUCGGAAUUACUGGGCGUAAAGCGUGCGUAGGCGGUGAGUUAAGUCUGCUGUGAAAUCCCCGGGCUCAACCUGGGAAUGGCAGUGGAUACUGGCUCGUUAGAGUGUGUCAGAGGAUGGUGGAAUUCCCGGUGUAGCGGUGAAAUGCGUAGAGAUCGGGAGGAACAUCAGUGGCGAAGGCAGCCAUCUGGGACAACACUGACGCUGAGGCACGAAAGCGUGGGGAGCAAACAGGAUUAGAUACCCCGGUAGUCCCUGUCUCUUAUAC